rnacentral:tRNA from 1 species
AGGGUAAUAGCUCAGUGGUAGAGCAUGUGCUUAGCAUGCACGAGGACCUGGGCUCAAUCCUCAGUACCUCCU